rnacentral:rRNA from 1 species
UGGGGAAUUUUGGACAAUGGGCGAAAGCCUGAUCCAGCAAUGCCGCGUGUGUGAAGAAGGCCUUCGGGUUGUAAAGCACUUUUGUCCGGAAAGAAAUCCUUGGCUCUAAUACAGUCGGGGGAUGACGGUACCGGAAGAAUAAGCACCGGCUAACUACGUGCCAGCAGCCGCGGUAAUACGUAGGGUGCAAGCGUUAAUCGGAAUUACUGGGCGUAAAGCGUGCGCAGGCGGUUUGCUAAGACCGAUGUGAAAUCCCCGGGCUCAACCUGGGAACUGCAUUGGUGACUGGCAGGCUAGAGUAUGGCAGAGGGGGGUAGAAUUCCACGUGUAGCAGUGAAAUGCGUAGAGAUGUGGAGGAAUACCGAUGGCGAAGGCAGCCCCCUGGGCCAAUACUGACGCUCAUGCACGAAAGCGUGGGGAGCAAACAGGAUUAGAUACCCUGGUAGUCCACGCCCUAAACGAUGUCAACUAGUUGUUGGGGAUCAUUCCUUAGUAACGUAGCUAACGCGUGAAGUUGACCGCCUGGGGAGUACGGUCGCAAGAUUAAAACUCAAAUGAAUUGACGGGGUC